AACGUAGGAGACAAACGUUAUCCGGAUUUACUGGGCGUAAAGGGCGCGUAGGCGGCCACCGCAAGUCGGUUGUGAAAUCUCCGGGCUUAACCCGGAAAGGUCAAUCGAUACUGCGGGGCUAGAGUGCAGAAGGGGCAACUGGAAUUCUCGGUGUAGCGGUGAAAUGCGUAGAUAUCGAGAGGAACACCUGCGGCGAAGGCGGGUUGCUGGGCUGACACUGACGCUGAAGCGCGAAAGCUAGGGGAGCGAACGGG
rnacentral:rRNA from 1 species